rfam:Alligator mississippiensis ScZkoYb_1146, whole genome shotgun sequence.
GUACAUUUUGCUGUUAAAAAAUAAAUAAAUAAAUCUGUUCUUCUCAGUUUAAUCAUUGAUAUGUCCUCCAUGUGAGGUCUAAUGCAUUAAACAUAUUUUUGGCACCGGGACAGGGCCUUGGAGCUUGUUCCUGCCACUCCACUCAUCAGCCCAGUAUAGCACCCAGCUCCAAAAGCAGUAGUAGCA